rnacentral:rRNA from 1 species
GAGUUUGAUCAUGGCUCAGAUUGAACGCUGGCGGCAGGCUUAACACAUGCAAGUCGAGCGGGGAAGGGUAGCUUGCUACCUGACCUAGCGGCGGACGGGUGAGUAAUGCUUAGGAAUCUGCCUAUUAGUGGGGGACAACAUUCCGAAAGGAAUGCUAAUACCGCAUACGCCCUACGGGGGAAAGCAGGGGAUCUUCGGACCUUGCGCUAAUAGAUGAGCCUAAGUCAGAUUAGCUAGUUGGUGGGGUAAAGGCCUACCAAGGCGACGAUCUGUAGCGGGUCUGAGAGGAUGAUCCGCCACACUGGGACUGAGACACGGCCCAGACUCCUACGGGAGGCAGCAGUGGGGAAUAUUGGACAAUGGGCGAAAGCCUGAUCCAGCCAUGCCGCGUGUGUGAAGAAGGCCUUUUGGUUGUAAAGCACUUUAAGCGAGGAGGAGGCUACUUGGAUUAAUACUCUAGGAUAGUGGACGUUACUCGCAGAAUAAGCACCGGCUAACUCUGUGCCAGCAGCCGCGGUAAUACAGAGGGUGCGAGCGUUAAUCGGAUUUACUGGGCGUAA